GAUGAAGAACGUAGCGAAAUGCGAUAAGUAAUGUGAAUUGCAGAAUUCCGUGAAUCAUCGAAUCUUUGAACGCACAUUGCGCCCGCCAGCAUUCUGGCGGGCAUGCCUGUUCGAGCGUCAUUUCAACCCUCGACCUCCCCUUGGGGAGGUCGGCGUUGGGGACCGGCAGCACACCGCCGGCCCUGAAAUGGAGUGGCGGCCCGUCCGCGGCGACCUCUGCGCAGUAAUACAGCUCGCACCGGGACCCCGACGCGGCCACGCCGUAAAACACCCAACUUCUGAACGUUGACCUCGAAUCAGGUAGGACUACCCGCUGAACUUAAGCAUAUCAAUAAGCGGAGGA
rnacentral:misc_RNA from 1 species